AGUGAACGCUGGCGGUAGGCCUAACACAUGCAAGUCGAACGGCAGCACAGUAAGAGCUUGCUCUUACGGGUGGCGAGUGGCGGACGGGUGAGGAAUACAUCGGCAUCUACUUUUUCGUGGGGGAUAACGUAGGGAAACUUACGCUAAUACCGCAUACGACCUACGGGUGAAAGCAGGGGAUCUUCGGACCUUGCGCGAUUGAAUGAGCCGAUGUCGGAUUAGCUAGUUGGCGGGGUAAAGGCCCACCAAGGCGACGAUCCGUAGCUGGUCUGAGAGGAUGGUCAGCCACACUGGAACUGAGACACGGUCCAGACUCCUACGGGAGGCAGCAGUGGGGAAUAUUGGACAAUGGGCGCAAGACUGAUCCAGCCAUACCGCGGGGGUGAAGAAGGCCUUCGGGUUGUAAAGCCCUUUUGUUGGGAAAGAAAAGCAGCAGGUUAAUACCCCGCUGUUCUGACGGUACCCAAAGAAUAAGCACCGGCUAACUUCGUGC
rnacentral:rRNA from 1 species